AUCCUCAGGUUCAUAAGUGUGAUGAUUGGGUGUUCAUGCUGCAUGAAUGACAUCUGCCUCCUUUUGAACCUUGUUACAACAUUGGCAUAUUACCCAUCUGACG